CUUCCCUGACGGCAGACCAACGCAGGAACACCCAUAUCCCAUAUUUAAUAUGGGAUAUGAAUAUAGUAAAGCACUAUCAUGUGGAAGACCACCCCCGAAGAGGAGAUGUCUCCAGCCCCCAACAGAGAUACUUGGAUUAAUGUUGAGAGGAUUAUUGUUCAAUACGGUGCAGAAACACUUGGUUCAGUUAUAUGUAUAUAUCUAUCAUCUUUCAAGAAAUCCUUCAUCCCCUCAGCUGUGACCAUACUGAACAAGAUAUGAACUGUCCAGCUGCAGCAUGAAUGUAUUGUGUGGUCGUCUUUUUUUUUUUUUUUGGUCAAGCCUUGUCUAAUGUCUGUGAGAAUCACUGAAGCCACGCCAAAGACAAUUUUCUGUUUCAUGGGUGUAACAGACAAUAAAGUUUUAUCUAAUCUCAUCAUAUCAAUGAGAAUCAGUGCACCUGACAAAGGUAUGACAUACUGUAUACUGUAGGCUUAAGUGCUAAAGGAAAAUGAAUUAACCUUAGCGAUUUUGAAUUGUUUAUUUACACAGUUAUUAAAAUGCAUACAGAUAGUGAAUUUAAUAUAGUUCAAUACUGUGUGCUUACUCGAUGGUGUUUUUUAUAUGUGCUGAACUGAAAAACAACCUAGCUACUUGUGCUCAAUACACUAAAUGACUCUUG